GCGCCUGUAGCUCAAUUGGAUAGAGCGUCACCCUCCGGAGGUGAAGGUUACGUGUUCAACUCACGUCAGGCGCA
rnacentral:tRNA from 1 species